rnacentral:rRNA from 1 species
UACGAAGGGGGCUAGCGUUGCUCGGAAUCACUGGGCGUAAAGGGUGCGUAGGCGGGUCUUUAAGUCAGGGGUGAAAUCCUGGAGCUCAACUCCAGAACUGCCUUUGAUACUGAAGAUCUUGAGUUCGGGAGAGGUGAGUGGAACUGCGAGUGUAGAGGUGAAAUUCGUAGAUAUUCGCAAGAACACCAGUGGCGAAGGCGGACUCACUGGCCCG